rnacentral:rRNA from 1 species
AGCGAACGCUGGCGGCAGGCCUAACACAUGCAAGUCGAACGGAUCCUUCGGGAUUAGUGGCGGACGGGUGAGUAACACGUGGGAACGUGCCCUUUGGUUCGGAACAACUCAGGGAAACUUGAGCUAAUACCGGAUGUGCCCUUCGGGGGAAAGAUUUAUCGCCAUUGGAGCGGCCCGCGUCUGAUUAGCUAGUUGGUGAGGUAACGGCCCACCAAGGCGACGAUCAGUAGCUGGUCUGAGAGGAUGAUCAGCCACACUGGGACUGAGACACGGCCCAGACUCCUACGGGAGGCAGCAGUGGGGAAUCUUGCGCAAUGAGCGAAAGCCUGACGCAGCCAUGCCGCGUGAAUGAUGAAGGUCUUAGGAUUGUAAAAUUCUUUCAGCGGGGACGAUAAUGACGGUACCCGCAGAAGAAGCGCCGGCUAACUUCGUG